rnacentral:lncRNA from 7 species
GGAAACUGUGAAAUCACCUUUACUUUAGCUGCAGGUAGUGUUAUUUGUAAUAAUACCUGCCAGGUCUAUGCUGUUUGAAUGUAAUGUUUUGCAUUAACUAUUUCUAAAAUAUCAGACUAAUGGAAGUAAUAGAUGAAGUGGAAAAGGACUAAAGGUCCCCUUGAGUUUUCUUUCUUCCUGACUUGCUCCUCCCCAGACUCAGUGAAAGCCAAUAAAGAAGAACUGAGACUCAUCCCUGAUAAAGACAAGCUAAGAAAUCUGCUUCCUGCAUUUAAAAACAAUUUUUUAUCUAGCCACUGUCUUAUAUUUCUUUCAAGAAGGGAGCUAUCUACUACCAGAAGAGGCAAGGCUGAAAGCAAGUGGCAAUUUACAUCAAGGUCUCCGUAUAGGGGACAAGCUACCAAUAUGGCCUUCAGAGUCAAUCCAGAGAUUAAGAGACCAGCCUCCACCUUACUACAUUCUCCCUUCGUGUCAUUGUACAGAACACUGAGGUCUCCUUUCAGCCUCUUAGUCUCCAGGCUAACCAACCUCAAUUCCCUCAGCUUCUCCCCAUGUAUCUUGUUCAGUAGUCCCUUCACCAGCUUUGUUGCUUGUCUCGGUGUAUUCCAGCAACUUGAUAUAUUUCCUGUAGUUUCUUUUAAGUUUUGAUUGAGUUUGAGAUAGCUAGAGAUGAUUACCAGAACUAUGCUAUGCAGUGUUCUGUCUGGUCAACCAUGUGAUCCUCAUGUAAGCUUUUAUCUAGUACAAGAUGUUUAAGGCAAAAAAAAAAAAUUCUGUGCAUCGAUCAUGCUGUUAAAAUUCUUGGGACUGUAUUGAGUAUUUUCUCACCUGGAACAACAAGGGUUGAGGAAAUAAUAGUUGAGUUUCACAACAAAUUGGAAAUGCUUAAUAAGAAAUAAAUAGUUGAAAUUUACAGGUUACAUUUUUUUAUUUGUUUGGUUUACAACUUUGUGAUGCUGAUAUACAACAGUAUUUGUUCUGCUUAUAAAGGAGUUUUGUUUUGAUAGUAAGAAAAAAAACUCGGACUGAAAGAAACUUAUGAACUGAAGUAGGAAAAGUUCUGUCUCAGUUCACAAUGAAAUACAAAUAAACAUUUUUAUG